CCCAGCCUGUACUACAUAGCAAGUCCCUGUCUCAAAAGAAAAACAAAAAUAAAUGAAAAGAGGCAAUUAACUUUUUCCUGUAGGGUGCUGUCAAGUUGGAGCCUAUGCACCAGGUUUUUGUCACAAUGUAGUAAUUUUUAAAAAUCAUUUUACAAUGGAGACCUCGGUCAUAAAAUCAGAGAGGGGAGUAUACCAAAGCCCUCAUGACUGUCCAGUCCUGUGGCCACAAUCCAAGCCAGUUCUGUUCCUUCUAUAGAUGACUUCUACCCCCUCUUGUUUUGAAAGAAACCGAAGACAUCCUAUCAUUUCAUCUGUAUUGAUUAUACCUAAAAUAGUUAACAGUAAUUCCCUAGUCAUGAAAUAUAUGGAUAGAAUUCUAAUUUCCACUGUCUCAGAAAUGCCCUGAUUUAUUUUUUGGUUUAUGUGUUAAGAAUCCAAAUCACCAGGGGUGUAGUCCCAGCUCCUUGGGAAGCCAAAUCCAGAAGAUCCCUGGAACCCAAGAGUUUGUGGUCAACCUGGGAAACAAAGCGAGACCUGUCUCAGGAAGAAUCAGGAUCCAUGCAGGGUGUGGCACACACCUGUAAUCCUAGCACUCGGGAAGCUGAGAAAUUGCUGCUGUUUAUCGGUGCCCAGACACGCUGCCCGCCGUGGGAUCCGUGUUUUGUAUUUGCACUCGCUCUCACCGGGGACAGUUUUCUCACACUUGCCAUAUUUAGACUGUGCCAGGACUGGUGGGCAUUUGCUGCAGCCCCUGGACUCCCCUGCCCACACCCUCUUCUCCGCGGGUGUCACUCCAGAGAUGGCUGUGGAGUAAGCAUUGCAGCUCGCUAGCAGCACCGAAGUCCAGGCACAUGUGAGCUGCCCAGCUGCCCACUGCAGCCCUGGCUGGGCACUCAGGAGUCCUCAGAGAUCCAGAACUGCCCCAGCCUGCUCGUCAGCUCACAUGGUCCACAUUUUCAAGGAUUCGUUUUCGUAUCAACUUGUUGAGGUUCUGGGAUGUGCAGACAGCUGGGAAAUCAUCAUUCUUUGUGUCUGCAAGCAUUUCUCAGUAGAAGAGGUUUUGAAUCUGUGCCGGGUGAAGAUGAUCUACCUGCACCAGUAUCACCUAAUGCAUUGUCUAAUGCGUUCAAGGCCUGAAUAGAACAAAGAGGGAGAAGAAGAGCAAAUUCGCUCUGCUGGAGCCAGGCCAUCUGUCUUCUCCUGCCUUGGAUACCAGAACUCCUGACUCCAGGCCUCCGGACUCUGAGACAUAUGUACCAGGCCCCUCACCGCACCCCCGGGCCUUCAGAUCUGGCUGCAAGUGAACACUGUUGGCUCGGCCUUGAACUGCUGGAUGCUACAGCUUUCCUGCUUUCCUGCUUGCUGGUGACAGAUGGUGGGACUUGUCAGCCUCCACAGUUAUGUGAGCAAAUUCCCAUAAUAAACAAGUAAAUAAAUA